CGAGCGGGGGAGGGGAGAGWAAUGCUUGGGAACGUGCCUUGGGGUGGGGGACAACUGGUGGAAACCACUGCUAAUCCCGCAUAGUGUCUACGGACCAAGGGGGGCUUCGGCUCUCGCCUUUAUAGUGCCCCAUGUGGGAUUAUCUAGGUGGAGAGGUAAUGGCUCCCCGGGGAGACUAUCCCUAUCUGGUUUGAGAAGAUGAUCCCCCACUCUGGGACUGACACACGGCCCACACUCCUACGGGGGGCAGCAGUGGGGAAUAUUGCACAGUGGGCGCAAGCCUGAUGCACCCGUGCCGCGUGUGUGAAAAAGGCCUUCGGGUUGWAAAGCUCUUUCWCUCGAGAAGAAAGGUUAAUAGUUAAUGCCUGCUAUCUGUGACUUUUCUGACAAAAGAAGCCCCGGSUAACUCCGYGCCCACCCCCGCGGWUAUACAGAGGGCGCGAGCGUAUAUCAAUUUUUCUGGGUGUAAAGCGUACGCGCGCGUUUUGUUAAGCGAKAUGUGAAAGCCCCGGUCUCCMCCUGGACACUGCUUUUCAGACUGGMAAACUAGAGUGAGAUAGAGGGUGGUAGAAUUUCGGGUGUAGCGGAGAUAUGCGUAGAGAUCUGAGA
rnacentral:rRNA from 1 species